AUGUCGCCGAACCUCAUACCUGCCGCUGGAAUGAAAUUCACCGUGUACGAUAAUGCAUGGAACUUUUACAACACUUAUGCAAGAUAUGCAGGGUUUGGCAUACGCAAGAGGGCAAAACACAAGACAAAUGCCUACAUUGUCUGCUCAAGAGAAGGGACGCACACGCAAACUGUGUCAGAUUAUGACCGGAAAUGUGAGAAGACAUCAAAAAGGAUUGGCUGCAAGGCAAGAAUUAGAGUCAAAAAGAGGAAGAAUGGCAGUUUUUUGAUAGAAAUGGUUGAGCUCAACCACAAUCACAAGAUACUAGAAAGCUCCGGGAUGCUUUUGCACAUGCACUCGCACAAAACAGACGAUCCUUGGAUUGACUAUUCAUGGGUCAACAAGAAACAGAAGUUUGCCAGAGAAGAGUCUCAAGAUGACGUCAAGGAACUUCUGGAUUUCUUUGAGAAGGUGCAGAAGAUCAACCCAGAGUUCUUCUAUGAUUACGACGUCGAUGCAGAUAAUCAUGUAAGAAACGUCUUUUGGGCCAACGCAAGUUGCAAAGGAUCUUAUGAAGAUUUUGGAGACUGCGUUACAUUUGACACGACCUAUAAAACUAACAAAUUCCACAUGCCGCUGGGAGUCUUCGUGGGAGUGAACCAUCAUCUACUGAGCACCGUAUUUGCUGUCGCCCUUCUGCGAGAUGAAACAAUAUUGUCGUUUGAGUGGGUUUUCAAACAUUCUUGA
rnacentral:rRNA from 1 species